rnacentral:tRNA from 1 species
GCGGGUAUAGUUUAGUGGUAGAAUGAGUCCUUGCCAAGGAUUAGAUGAGAGUUCGAUUCUCUCUACCCGCA